UGAGUUUCCUUGCUUUGUCACUUCCUGCCUGGAUCAACACUUAUCUACUACAUUUCCCAGAAUCCUCUUUGACUCCUAGUCCUGUCUAACUUGCUGUCUCAUUGGCCAAACAGUAUUUUAUUUAACAAUCAAAAGAUAAACAUACACAGUACAUUCCCCAUCAGAAAGCUUACUGCUUGCUCGAGGUCUUUGGCAUAACCUUCCAUCGCAGGCAGAGAGUUAGCCUUGCUGGCUGGGGCCAAUCGACAGCUAAGACAGGGACCGGUAAGUAUACCCUAGAAUGUCUUUGGGAGAAACUGUUGAAGUCGCAGACUUAACAUCCUUUUAU
rnacentral:lncRNA from 1 species